GAUGAACGCUGGCGGCGUGCCUAAUACAUGCAAGUCGAGCGAACGGACGAGAAGCUUGCUUCUCUGAUGUUAGCGGCGGACGGGUGAGUAACACGUGGAUAACCUACCUAUAAGACUGGGAUAACUUCGGGAAACCGGAGCUAAUACCGGAUAAUAUUUUGAACCGCAUGGUUCAAAAGUGAAAGACGGUCUUGCUGUCACUUAUAGAUGGAUCCGCGCUGCAUUAGCUAGUUGGUAAGGUAACGGCUUACCAAGGCAACGAUGCAUAGCCGACCUGAGAGGGUGAUCGGCCACACUGGAACUGAGACACGGUCCAGACUCCUACGGGAGGCAGCAGUAGGGAAUCUUCAGCAAUGGGAGAAAGCCUGACGGAGCAACGCCGCGUGAGUGAUGAAGGUCUUCGGAUCGUAAAACUCUGUUAUUAGGGAAGAACAUAUGUGUAAGUAACUAUGCACAUCUUGACGGUACCUAAUCAGAAAGCCACGGCUAACUACGUG
rnacentral:rRNA from 1 species